GAUCCUGGCUUAGGAUGAACGCUGGCGGCGUGCCUAAUACAUGCAAGUCGAACGAGGGUGCUUGCACCCUAGUGGCGAACGGGUGAGUAACACGUAGGUAACCUGCCCUUAAGCUUGGGAUACCCAGAGGAAACUUUGGCUAAUACCGGAUAACAACAGAAGAGGCAUCUCUUCAGUUUGAAAGGCCCUUUACGGGGUCACUUAAGGAUGGACCUGCGGCGCAUUAGCUAGUUGGUGAGAUAACAGCCCACCAAGGCGAGGAUGCGUAGCCGACCUGAGAGGGUGAUCGGCCACAUUGGAACUGAGACACGGUCCAAACUCCUACGGGAGGCAGCAGUAAGGAGUUUUCGGCAAUGGGGGAAACCCUGACCGAGCAACGCCGCGUGAGUGAUGACGGCCCUAUGGGUUGUAAAGCUCUGUUGUAAGGGACGAAUGAUUCGCUUAGGAAAUGAAGCGGGUUUGACGGUACCUUACCAGAAAGCCACGGCUAACUACGUGCCAGCCGCCGC
rnacentral:rRNA from 1 species